rnacentral:rRNA from 1 species
CCUUACGGCUCAGUAACACGUGGAUAACCUGCCCUUGGGUCCGGCAUAACCCCGGGAAACUGGGGAUAAUUCCGGAUAACGCAUAUAUGCUGGAAUGCUUUAUGCGUAAAAUGGAUUCGUCCGCCCAAGGAUGGGUCUGCGGCCUAUCAGGUAGUAGUGGGUGUAAUGUACCUACUAGCCAACAACGGGUACGGGUUGUGAGAGCAAGAGCCCGGAGAUGGAUUCUGAGACAUGAAUCCAGGCCCUACGGGGCGCAGCAGGCGCGAAAACUUUACAAUGCGGGAAACCGUGAUAAGGGGACACCGAGUGCCAGCAUCAUAUGCUGGCUGUCCAGGUGUGUAAAAUACACCUGUUAGCAAGGGCCGGGCAAGACCGGUGCCAGCCGCCGCGGUAACACCGGCGGCCCGAGUGGUGAUCGUGAUUAUUGGGUCUAAAGGGUCCGUAGCCGGUUUGGUCAGUCCUCCGGGAAAUCUGAUAGCUCAACUAUUAGGCUUUCGGGGGAUACUGCCAGGCUUGGAACCGGGAGAGGUAAGAGGUACUACAGGGGUAGGAGUGAAAUCUUGUAAUCCCUGUGGGACCACCUGUGGCGAAGGCGUCUUACCAGAACGGGUUCGACGGUGAGGGACGAAAGCUGGGGGCACGAACCGGAUUAGAUACCCGGGUAGUCCCAGCCGUAAACGAUGCUCGCUAGGUGUCAGGCAUGGCGCGACCGUGUCUGGUGCCGCAGGGAAGCCGUGAAGCGAGCCACCUGGGAAGUACGGCCGCAAGGCUGAAACUUAAAGGAAUUGGCGGGGGAGCAC